rnacentral:rRNA from 1 species
UCUAAGGCUAAAUACUUCCACGAGACCGAUAGCAAACAAGUACCGUGAGGGAAAGUUGCAAAGAACUUUGAAGAGAGAGUUCAAGAGUACGUGAAACCGCUCGUAGGUAAACGGGUGGGCCCUCGAAGGCAAGCAGGAGGGGAUUCAACCCGUUGGCAAUCGACCGUGCGCCGCGGUUUUUCUCGAAACGGAUCCGAGAGACCGGCCCGUGGCGCCGCGGUCGUCAGCGGGCGCACUUCCCCUUCUCGCGUCCCGUCCUUCUGGGCGGGACCGAACGCCGCGACCGGUCGGGAGAAACGACGGCGGCCAAGCGGCGAGAUUGGGCAGGUAUCCUACUCGUCCUUUCUGUUUUUCCCUUCGGGGUUGGCAGGAUUGCUUGUAGGAGAGCUUUCAGCCCGUCUCGACCCGGCUCCGCCGCCCGACCGUGGUCUAGAACCGAGGUUCGACAACCGCGCAUGCGCUUUGACGCUCGAGCCCGUCCCGCACGUAGGGUUUUCUGGCCGCCGAUAGAUCCAUAAAACCUCCCCCCCGCUCACGGCGGUUACACGAAGCGGUCGCCCUGCGUUGUGUACCCCUUUAGGACGUGUGCUCUCGUUUUUUGUUCCAAAAAAAGCAGCGCUUGUGGUCGGCGGCGAGUAGGUCGGUAACCCACCCGACCCGUCUUGAAACACGGACCAAGGAGUCUAACAUGUGUGCGAGUCGUAGGGUUCGUCCGAAACCCGAAGGCGCAGUGAAAGUAGAGGUCGGCUCUAUGCUCGGCCGAGGCAGGAUCCGUCGUUCUCUUUCCUUUUACCCGGGCACAUUCCCCUAACUCCGGUUAGGGUGUGUGUUUUUUUGGUCUGUAACUGGAAGUCGGCGGCGCACUGCCGGCCCGUCUCGACCGCCACGUCGGUGAGGCGGAGCAAGAGCACACACGUUGGGACCCGAAAGAUGGUGAACUAUUCCUAGGCAGGACGAAGCCAGAGGAAACUCUGGUGGAGGUCCGUAGCGUUUCUGACGUGCAAAUCGAUCGUCAGACCUGGGUAUAGGGGCGAAAGACUAAUCGAACCAUCUAGUAGCUGGUUCCCUCCGAAGUUUCCCUCAGGAUAGCUGGCUCUCGAGACACACAGUCUCAUCCGGUAAAGCGAAUGAUUAGAGGCCUUGGGGCCGAAACGACCUCAACCUAUUCUCAAACUUUCAAUGGGUGAGAAGUCCGGCUUGCUCGACUGAAGCCCGGACGAUAACGGAUGCGAGUGCCCAGUGGGCCACUUUUGGUAAGCAGAACUGGCGCUGUGGGAUGAACCAAACGCCGGGUUACGGCGCCAAAUGCGACGCUCAUCAGACACCAUGAAAGGUGUUGGUUGCUAUAGACAGCAGGACGGUGGCCAUGGAAGUCGGAAUCCGCUAAGGAGUGUGUAACAACUCACCUGCCGAAGCAACUAGCCCUGAAAAUGGAUGGCGCUCAAGCGUCGAGCCUAUACCCGGCCGCCGGGGCAGAGCCCGUCCAAACGGCCCCAGAAGCCCCGGCGAGUAGGAGGGUCGCGGCGGUGAGCGGAAAAGGGUCGGGCGCAGGCCCGCCUGGAGCCUCCGCCGGUGCAGAUCUUGGUGGUAGUAGCAAAUACUCGAGUGAGAACCUUGAGGACUGAUGUGGAGAAGGGUUCCAUGUGAACAGCAGUUGAACAUGGGUCAGUCGGCCCUAAGGAAUAGGGAAAUCCCGUUCCGAACGGGGGGUUGGUACAUAAACAAAAAUUUUCCAAAAGAAAACCCCCGCCCAGACCGAAAGGGAAUCGGGUUAAUAUUCCCGAACCCGGACACGGAGAUCGGGCCCUUUGUGGUCCAGUGCGGUGACGCAAACAUCCUCGGAAACGUCGACGGGAGUUCCGGGAAGAGUUGUCUUUUCUUUGUAAGGGACGGAAUCCCUGGAAUCGGUUCGCCCGGAGAUAGGGAUGUGGUUUCCGUAAAGCACCGCGCCUCCUGCGGUGUCCGGACAGCUCUCGUCGGCCCUUGAAAAUCCGAGGAAGGUAGUGCGAUUUUCGUGCCGGGCCGUACCCAUAUCCGCAGCAGGUCUCCAAGGUGAACAGCCUCUAGUCGAUAGAUCA